rnacentral:tRNA from 1 species
AACGCAGUAGCUCAGUGGUAGAGCUAUCGGCUGUUAACCGAUCGGUCGUAGGUUCGAGUCCUACCUGCG